AAACAAUGUGUUUACUUCAUGCUGCAAGUUCUUUGAUAAACUCAAUAUAUUAAUAAAUAAGUGGGUGUACCGUCAUCUUCCUCGCCUUCCUUUUCAUCAUUGUCCUCCUCAUCCUCUUCAUCGUCUUCUUCCUCCUUUUCAUCAUUGGCCUCCUCUUGGUCGGCUAGCUCAACUCCGUCAGUUGCCUCAUCAUCUUCAGAAGCCUCCUCUUCCUCCUCAGCUGCUGCUUCAUCGGCCUGUUCUUCUUCAGCGUCAUCCUCCUCUUCCUCAUCCGCAGCCUCCUCAACCUCUUCGUUGUCUUCCUCUUCUUCAGUAUCCUCCUCUUCUGCAAUAUCCUCGACCUUUUCCUCAUCUUCCUCUUCUUCAGCAUCCUCCUUCUCUGCCUCAUCUCCAGCAUCCUCAUCUUCAUCGUCUUCCUCUUCUUCAGUGUCUAUCUCCUCUUCCUCAUCUGCAGCCUUCUCUUCUUCAUCGUCUUCCUCUUCUUCAGUGUCUAUCUCCUCUUCCUCAUCUGCAGCAUUCUCGCCUUCUUCAUCGCCUUCCUCUUCUUCAGCCUCUUCCUCAUCUGCAGCUUCACCCUCUUCCUCAACAGCCUCUUCCUCCUCCUCCAUUUCCUCUGGAGCAGUCUCCUCCUCUUCGUCCUGCUCAGCAGCCUCCACUUCCUCGUCGUCCUCGUCGUCCUCCUCCCCAUCUGACUCUUCAUCAUCUUCCUCCUCUGCUACCCGUUCCUCUUCCUCGCCCCCAUCACCAUCAGUGGUUUCGCCCUCUUCAACCACAACCUCCACAACACCUUCAGCAUGGAGGCCUUUGUCCUGAGCACCUCCUCCAGAGAGCAGGAGCACCAGCAGCAGCCCCACUAACCAGAUCUUCAGAGGAGCCAUUUUGGAAGACACCACUGAGGACCUCUUCAGAAGAACCAAUCCGCACCGGGUGAUUGUCUCCACCGCGUUACUGCCACCGAAGAAGCAAAAACCAUCAAUGGGUUUUCAACAAGUUGAAAGAAUAAAAUCCGCAGGAAUCGUUACAGAGCUGCAGGUGACUCGGGCUCUUUGAGACGGGGGCCGUGUUCUCGGGGGCCGAGGGAGCAGAGAGCCAGCCGGGUGCCGGGAACGCAGAGGACGCAGUGCAAACACAACGCCGAGGGUGGAAGUUGUGUCGCCGCGUGUGCUUGAGUGACAGGGGCACAUGUCUGCGAAGAAUGCUCCGGGUGCCCUUAACCCAGUGUGCUGGAGAGGUGGGUGCGUGCUCAUGGCCGGGGGGCCGGGGGACGGCAGGUGGGAGGGUGAAAGGGAGGUCAAAGAACAUCUUGCUUGACGAGAGUUUAACCUCUUAGCAGAGCGGAUGUCCUCUAGAUUUGUGUGG
ensembl:lncRNA